UGCUGAGACUGCUGAGUGAGGAAUGGC
rnacentral:piRNA from 1 species